ACCACCGCAGCCGUCAGACAUGGCUACUGCUUGUUCCUGCAACUUCAAUAAAUCUGGCCUCCCGAUUUGGUUAAAUCAUCGGGUGUUGAAGAACGAUCGUUGACUGCUCAUCGGAUUUCGGAAGACCCAACUCGUUUCAGGGCAAUGGUCAUAAGCCAUCUCCGUGUGGAGAACCUGAAGGCUGAUGAUCGUAACCAUAAAGAUGAUGGUUAGGGUCAGGUGGCACUACAAGAAAACAUAGCAUUAGGGGCGGCAUCUUUAGGGUUAAUUGCUGCAUUUUUUGAUAAAUAGGUUUAGAGAGUAGUUGAAGUUAGAGGUACACAAAUCGGGUUAGGGUUUGACCCCGAAUCGGCUUCAAAAUGCUUUGAAGUGAAGCUUAAAAAAGUCAUGGGUUAAUACAGGUUUAGGAUGCUAAAACGGGCACCAACUUAUUCUUUGAAGGACAUGAUGCACCUGUUAGUUCUAUAUGCCCGCAUAGCAAAGAUAACAUUCAGUAUAUAUCUUUUCAACGGCUACCAAUAGAAAGAUCAAGGCGUGGUUACAUGUUGAUCAAGUUUCAAAAAUUGAUAAUGAAACCCCUGGUUACAUCUGGACGAAAUGGCAUACAAUACUGAUGGGUCAUGUAACGCUUAGCAUUUCUCUAUAAUCCAUAUUUAGACGAAAUGGCAUACAAUACUGAAGCUUAAAAACGUCAUGGGUUAAUACAGGUUUAGAAUGCUAAAACAGGCACUAACUUAUUCAUCUUUGAAGGACAUGACGCACCUAUUAGUUCUAUAUGCCGCAUAGCAAAGAUAACAUUCAGUAUAUAUCUUUUCAACGGCUAUCAAUAGAAAGAUCAAGGCAUGGUUACAUGUUGAUCGAGUUUCAAAAAUUGAUUAUGAAACCGAUGGUUAUGUCUGGA
rnacentral:lncRNA from 1 species